AGAGUUUGAUCCUGGCUCAGGAUGAACGCUAGCGGCAGGCCUAAUACAUGCAAGUCGAACGGGAGUCUCCGGCCUUCGGGCGGAGUGAGAGUGGCGCACGGGUGCGUAACGCGUAUGCAACCAACCCCGCACUGGGGGACAGCCGGUGGAAACGCCGGGUAAUACCCCAUGCCGACCUUGAGGGACAUCCCUUGCGGUCGAAAGACGCGAGUCGGUGCGGGACGGGCAUGCGUCCCAUUAGCUAGUUGGCGGGGCAACGGGCCCACCAAGGCCACGAUGGUAGGGGAUCUGAGAGGACGGUCCCCCACACUGGUACUGAGACACGGACCAGACUCCUACGGGAGGCAGCAGUAAGGAAUAUUGGGCAAUGGGGGAACCCUGACCCAGCCAUGCCGCGUGAGGGAUGUAGGCCCUACGGGUCGUGAACCUCUUUUGUCGGGGGACAAGGACAUGGUCGGGAACCAUGUUUGCGGGUACUCGGCGAAUAAGCAUCGGCUAACUCCGUGCC
rnacentral:rRNA from 1 species